CUCUACAUUUUAAACUAAAAUAUGGCAUAACGAGCUCCACUACUUGUAAUGCUGAGUUAGAGAACGAAGAACGAUAACUGAAUGCGUUUACAGCUACAAACACAUCAUCAUUCUUUGACGGUUUUGUCAUCUGUUUUUCAACUUCCGGCCAUAUAUAUAUCCUGGCAUCCAUAGCUGCCACGCCCCACCAUAUGGAUAAUUCUGCUAAUAACUGAUAAUUCCAUUUAUUGGUGGUGGUAUGUCUGAAAGUGGAAGUCGAUAUAUGG
rnacentral:lncRNA from 1 species